AUAACUUGUGUUUUCUUUCUCCUUGCACACAGGCGCUCUGGUCGUGGCGGCGGGGCCGUGUGGUGGAGUCUUGGCAGUCAGCUGUCUGUGGGGCUUUUGCAGGUGGCUUUGCAGCUGCAGUCACUACACCUCUGGAUGUGGCUAAGACAAGGAUCAUGCUGGCAAAGGCUAUUUGCAGGUGUCUUCCCGAGAAUGGCAGCAAUCAGCAUGGGAGGCUUUAUCUUUCUGGGUGCCUAUGACCAGACCCGAAGCUUGCUGCUAGAGGUGGGCAGGAAGAGCCCAUGAAGAAGACACUUCAUGUCCUUGGGCUGCUGUGCAGUCCCCUCUCCUCGUCCUGGAGCUACAGUGCAGCUGCGAAGAUGGCUCAGAGAACAGCUUAAUGAAGGUGGCACAGACUGCCCCAGGAAACUGUCCUUGGUGAAACUCUGACCCAGCACCUCAGUCCUCUCAAUAAAUACUCUUGGUAAGGCAAGGCCUUUGAUCUGCAUCCUGCACUUCCUGCUAUCUGUUGGAGUCACCAGAAAAGCAAGCUGGCUACAAUUGGAAGUGAAUGACCAGACUGGGAAAAGGA
rnacentral:lncRNA from 1 species